GUCGCGUUACUGCGGCAACGGCUCCCGGCGGGCGACCGCGGUGAGGGGCGGCGGGCGCAGCAAUAAAACAAAAUGUCAUCAUCAUCACAAUCAUCCUCGUCUUUACCUGUAUUUGACUGUACUUCUCCUUUAGUGGACUUUGAUCCUCAGGAAAAGUUUAUUCUUCCUCAUGCUACUGAGUUAAACAGUGAAAUCAUUGACACUUUGAUACAGAAGCUAAGUGAAAAUGAAACUCAAAAUACAAAUCUCAGGAAAAAAAUACUUGAAAGAGAGAAACAGAUUAAAGAACUUUCAUCCAUGCUUCAGUGUGAAAAAAUCAAUACACAGAAAGGAAACCACCUGUCAAGAUCAGUAAAGGAAGUACAAGCUCACCUGCAGUGUCAGAUUCAAAGAAAAGAAGCGGAAAAUGGUGAAUUAAAAGUAAAAAUACAGAAUCUAGAAAAGAAAAUAGCAAAGUGGAAACAUCAAGUUGGUGAAUACAAGCACCAGAAGUCAGCCUUAAAGGAAACAAGUGAACAAAACAAGAUUGCUCUGAAAAAAGCAAUGUGGUCCCAGAAACAAAGAGCUCAAUUCUUUGAAGAAGCUGCAAAAAAUUUAACCUCCAAAAUAAGAGAACAUGAAGUCAAAUUGCGUGAGAUAUUGUCCACUGCUGAUGUCUGGAAAAGCCAGCAUGAUAGAAUGCUUGAAGAAAAGACAAUGUUAGAAAUUCAAACAGAAGAUCUUAAGAAUCAGAUCACAAGCCUGCUGGAAGAAUUGGAAAGAAGGAAGGAAUGGAGAAGAAACUCAGAGGAGGAAAUUCUCAGGAAGCUAAAUUCUGGUAAUUCUGAAAAUGAAAAGAUUUACCUUGAAAAUGAAAAAUUAAAGGCUUCCAUUGCUACAUUGGAGAAAAGUACUGUUUCUGUUGAACAUGAGCUGCUACAUCUGCAGGAAAAGGCAAAGCUGCAGGAAAAUCUCGUUGAACAGCAUAAAAAUGAGGUACAAAAGCUACAAAUAGCAGCAGAGGAAUUGAAAUCUAGGUAUGAAAGAGUCUUAAAUGAAAACAAAAAAAUAACAGAAAACAAAUGCUUGGAAGAAGAUAAGCUGUUAAAACUGAGAAUCAAUUCAGAGUCUGAGUAUGAAUUUUCUUCAGCUUUUUUUUUCUGUGACAUCAGUUUCAACGGCAGGGAUGACAAUAAUGUAACUUCUAUGGGCAGUCUUUCCUUAGAAGAAGAGAACUGUAACAUUCAGAGGAAAUAUGAAGCUCUUAAAAGGCAAUUGGGAAAGAUGGAAUUUCAGAAUGAAGAACUUGCUUGUCAGCUCAGAACACAAGAUCAGAGUCUUCAGUGCAGUAAAUUGAAGCUUGAAGAGAAAAUUGCAGAAUAUAAUGCAUUAACCAGACAACUUGAAUCUGCUUUGGAAAAAGGGAGAAAAAUGGUAGCUGAAGAACAGGAAAAAAUGUCAUACAAAGAACAAGCUUUUCAGACAAAACUGCUAGUUCUUGAAACUGAAGUGAGAGAGGGGAAAGAAGAAAAAAAACAACUCCUCUGCAUAUUUCACCAUAAUGAAAAGCACCAUGAAAUAUGUUUAAAAGAGCUGGAGAACAGCCUUCAGAAGUCAGAGAACAAGAACCAGAGCAUCCAGAAUUAUGUGCAGUUUUUGAAAGCUGCAUACAUAACAAUGUUUGGCUGAACUCUUUAACCUAUUUUAAAGUGAAGAAACUUUUUUCAAGAUUUGGCUCUAAGGAAAAGCUGGAAGAAAAGCUUGUUGCGGUCUUAUAGUAUUUUGCAGGAUUGAGUACUCUAAUGUUAGUUCUUCCCUAGGAAAAUGUCUGUUGUGGGCAGGGAGAAGCAGUGAAAGUUUCCUGUGGAUUGCUUUAAGGCUGACAUAGCUCAAGAAUGGUUCUUAAGGCCAGAAAAGUGAGAGCACUGUGUUGAUGUCUGCUGAUUGGGAAUUCAAGCAGUCAAAACCAUGAAGUUAUUGCAGUCAUGCAGGGGAAAAAAUCUGGAGAAAUCUGAAGAAAGAGCCAAACCUAGGAACUUUCAAGCAUUUGUGCAAAUCCUUUGCCAGAGUGCAAAAAAUAAAAAAUCAGGGUUUUUCCAUUUCAAAUAAAUUUCCUAUUUUUAUUAAGUUGUUUUAUUAAGAUUGUGGUUUAGGAGAAAUUUCACAUGGAUAUUUACGAAGAGAUAUAAUCUUACAAUGUCUCUACAUGUAAAAAUGGAGCUCAAGUUCUCUGAGUGUCCAAUUAUUGUUCUGACGUUUACUGAUGUUAUUCCAACCCUUAGUAACCCACUGCAGUUAUACUCAGGCUCUGACAUAUUCUGAAGCACAUGUGAUGCAGAAAUAGACAUUUAAAUAUUUCUUCGUAUGCUUGUAUUUCACGGGAGAUUUCCCCAACCAGGAGCAUUCAGAGGUGGCAGUCUUGCUGAUUUCUCUUUUGGUGUGCACAUAUAAUAAUGGAGGGGAAAUGUGGUUGUCUUCUGAUGACAUGUUUCUAGUAGACCCAUCAUCCAAACAUUUGAAACAAAAAGAAGCUCCACAGAGUGAAAUAAAUCCCAAUAACAGAAACAGAAACUCCAUGCUGCUGCAUAGCAGAAGAUAUCCUUUGAAUCCUGCUAGGGGCUGCUUAUUGAUGGCAUUCUUGACAUGGUUCCAAACUCCCAAACUUAGUGUUUAAGCAACUCACAUCUGCUAGGGGUACUGGGAACAGUGGUAUCAGCUUCAGUUCCUGCUUUUUGUAAAAUGCUGCUUGCUAGGUUUCAGCUCUUCUGGCCUCGAUUACCAAAUUAAUGUCUGGAAAUAGGAAAAGUUUUAUACCAUUAGUCUUGUUUCUUUCUAGUAAUCUAAUCAUUUCUCAGUUCUCGGCAUUAUAUCUGACUUAGAAUGGUGAAUGUCAAGUUUUUAAUUUCUCUUCUGUCUUCUCACAGUUUUUAAUGAACUACAAUUCUGUGUUAAAAUAGGAACUUUGUUCCGUCCGUCCACUUCUGCCCAUUUUGGAGCACUUUUCAGCAUCUCAUAAUGAAAAAUUGUGUCUCUUUCUGUGAAGGUGUCUUUUAAACAGUCAAACAAAGUAGAAAAUUUUCAAGUGCCCAAGCAUGAUUUCUCACAAUCCCUCUGAGCAUCCUAUCUUAUUGUGCUUUUGGCAAACUCUCAUUACUUGGUUCAAUCACACUCCACAGUUUCAAAAGGACACCUUGGUGAUGUGCUUGUCCUUUCUUCGAACAACAUUGCAACUCUUUAAGUGACUUCUUUCCUUCAAACUUUUUUCCAGGCAGAAACAAACAUAGUUUUUUAUAAUUUUCUAAAACCUAUUUUGGAAGUCAGAUCAUAAUUAUGUUGGAGAAACAUUUGCACACAUUAGAGUCUAAUGCCUGAGUUUUCUAUUCACUGCAGCUGCAACAGUCCAAGUGAAGACUUAAUUUAGCCCCAAGACUUGUUACUCAUUUCCAUUUUGUCUUUGCUUUGCAUCUUGGUAUUUACUUCAGCUGUGGAGGUUUCAGAAACUCCAGAUGAUGUACUUCAUGAGGAUUAUACAACUCAACAGUGAAGACUUUGUUUUGAAUAACCAUUUCAUUUUCUUCAAAAAUGGCACAUUGCAGUGACAGCUGUAAUUUGACCAAUCAAGUACCGGAAACAUGGCAAUCAUGCCAAAAAGGUGUCAGUGUGAACUCGGUAAUUAUUCUCUGGUGAUAAUUUUCCUAUUUGCCUCUAGCACAAGUAGCCCAAAUCUUACAGGAAGAUUACAAUAGCAACUGCCCCCCCUCAAACUGUUCUCUACCAAUCUCCUUACUUAUUCAGAAACAUUCUAAAUUUACUGGUUUUUCCCUUUUUUUUGGCAAAAACUUAUGGUUUGAAGUCUUAUUAGUCUCACAGUAUCAUUUAUUCAAAAAGGGGAAAAGGGUGCUUUAUGGUAACUAUUACCUCCUGGAUAAAUAUCAGUUUCUGGUAGUGAAUCUCAUACUUCAUUUUGCAUGUCAGACUUCACUUCCCAAAAUAUGGAGAUGCAUCUGAGAACUGUACACUACAUGUGGUCAAAUUAUUUAAAGGUAUGUUCAAGGUUGCCAGAUUUGAUUCCAGAUUUUAGUGAUUUGACAUCCACUUUGAUCUAGGAUGAUAUAAAUUGAGUACUUCCAACAGGAGAUCAAAAUGAACACUCGUAUACAUUGGCAAAGUCGUGUGAAAGAGCAUGUGGAUUACAGAUAUCCUUCCAAGAUGAAUGCCCAACCACUAUGUUUUGGAUGGAUGGCUAGAUGUGAAAUGGAUAGUUUUAGGUGCAAUAUCUGACUGCACUGUCAACUUGCUUCGAGAAUGAGAUUAUUUCUUUUUUGAUAGAUGAGGCUUCUGGUGGGCCAUGUGAGAUGCAAUCAGACUUUCUGCAUUACCUUACCAUUUUAUGUAUUUGAUUAGCCAUGCAGAAGCUUAAGUUCUUGAAUGUAAAAAUCUGGAGUUAAUUAUCCUUGCUUAACAUUUAUCACACUGGAACGGAUUAAUCGUCCUUUGAACUAGAUUGUUUCCAUACCAAUACAUUACUCAAGAUCAACUUGGGCUUAUCAAAACUUUAUUAAAUAAAAAGCCAUAGGCCAAUUAAAGAGGCUUUCUGGGUCACUACCAGUCUCAGAUAUUUCCUUCAAAGCAAUAAAACGCUAUCAGUACACUGCUCUGUUUAUUCUGCCUCUUCAAUGGCUUUUGAUGGUGUCCUGGUUGUUCACUGAAGGUGCUCCCAGCCACUGCAGCAGAGAGUGUGUUUCCAGUGCUUAGAGAUGGAGGCACACGUGGUGACAAUUUCCAGUCCAACAUUUGUAUAAGAAAUGUGUGGACAUUCCAGGCAUGCACACAAGCUUGCAAAAAAAGGGAGUUGUGAGCAAAGUGAGA